CAAAUCGAAAAAAAGCAGAGCCUUGGCAGACUGGAGGGGGUCCACCUCUGCAGCCCUCACAGAGGCUGAGGAGAUGGCCCUCAGCCAACAGAGUAUGCGUCCUGUGGCUGAGGGCAUCCCUGGGGGGAGCUCCUCUGAUCCCCCCCACCCCCCAGGAUAGAAGUGCCUUUAUAAGAGUUACUGAUGGCGUCAUCGCCCUACUUGAACCAGAUGCCCUCACCAACCUCCAUGCAAUUGAAGAUGAUGGAGAACAUUGUCUGCGGCAUUCAAAAUGGAAGAGGAAAGGCCUAUUGAGGAUGAAAUCGAAUCCAAUGAGAGGCCAUCCACUUCUAAAUCACAGCUUACCUCUCUUCCAGUCAAAGACUUAUAUAAAAUCUAUCUAGAAAAGCAAAUACACAAAGCAGACUUGGAAAUGGACCACCUUAGGCAAAAGAUGCAAAAGGAUGCUUUGGAGUGUGUGUGUGCUAAAGUUAAAGGUGGGUGAGGUGCAAACUGGGAUACUGUUCCCUGCUCUAAAAACAUACCCAAUAUGAA
ensembl:lncRNA